AAUAAAUUCAGUUCAGCGUUGCUGCUCGAUGCCUCUGAGCACAGACUCAGUCUAAUCAACCUGUUUGAAAAUGUGACCAUGGCAAGAACUCUCAGUCAGAUGUGAAUCUGAUAUUAAUGCUACAAUCAAGCACUUACAGUAUAAACAUUCAGAAAGACGGGAGCAGUCACAAAGACUGGAUGUGCUAAUGGCUGACCCUACAGCAAGCAUCGAGAUUACUGCACAGACAAACUUCU